UACGGGGGGGGCAAGCGUUGUUCGGAAUUACUGGGCGUAAAGGGCUCGUAGGCGGCCAACUAAGUCAGACGUGAAAUCCCUCGGCUUAACCGGGGAACUGCGUCUGAUACUGGAUGGCUUGAGUUUGGGAGAGGGAUGCGGAAUUCCAGGUGUAGCGGUGAAAUGCGUAGAGAUCAGGAAGAACAUCGGUGGCGAAGGCGCUCUGCUGGACCAUAACUGACACUCAGGGACGAAAGCUAGGGGAGCGAAUGGG
rnacentral:rRNA from 1 species